AAUAUUGGACAAUGGGGGCAACCCUGAUCCAGCCAUGCCGCGUGUGUGAAGAAGGUCAUCGGAUUGUAAAUCACUUUAAGUUGGGAGGAAGGGCUUGAGGUUAAUACCCUGAAGUUUUGACGUUACCAACAGAUUAAGCACCUGCGAACUCUGUGCCAGCAGCCGCGGUAAGACAGAGGGUGCAAGAGUUAAUCGGAAUUACUGGGCGUAAAGCGCGGGUAGGUGGUUCAGUAAGAUGGGUGUGAAAUCCCCGGGCUUAACCUGGGAACUGCUUUCAUAACUGCUGAGCUAGAGUACGGUAGAGGGUAGUGGAAUUUCCUGUGUAGCGGUGAAAUGCGUAGAUAUAGGAAGGAACACCAGUGGCGAAGGCGACUACCUGGACUGAUACUGACACUGAGGUGCGAAAGCGUGGGGAGCAAACA
rnacentral:rRNA from 1 species